GAUGAACGCUGGCGGUGUGCCUAAUACAUGCAAGUCGAGCGAACAGACGAGGAGCUUACUCCUCUGACGUUAGCGGCGGACGGGUGAGUAACACGUGGAUAACCUACCUAUAAGACUGGGAUAACUUCGGGAAACCGGAGCUAAUACCGGAUAACAUGUUGAACCGCAUGGUUCAACAGUGAAAGACGGUCUUGCUGUCACUUAUAGAUGGAUCCGCGUCGCAUUAGCUAGUUGGUAAGGUAACGGCUUACCAAGGCAACGAUGCGUAGCCGACCUGAGAGGGUGAUCGGCCACACCGGAACUGAGACACGGUCCAGACUCCUACGGGAGGCAGCAGUAGGGAAUCUUCCGCAAUGGGCGAAAGCCUGACGGAGCAACGCCGCGUGAGUGAAGAAGGUCUUCGGAUCGUAAAACUCUGUUAUUAGGGAAGAACAAAUGUGUAAGUAACUAUGCACGUCUUGACGGUACCUAAUCAGAAAGCCACGGCUAACUACGUG
rnacentral:rRNA from 1 species